rnacentral:rRNA from 1 species
AUUGAACGCUGGCGGCAUGCCUUACACAUGCAAGUCGAACGGCAGCACGGGAGCAAUCCUGGUGGCGAGUGGCGAACGGGUGAGUAAUGUAUCGGAACGUACCUUUCAGUGGGGGAUAACGUAGCGAAAGUUACGCUAAUACCGCAUAUUCUGUGAGCAGGAAAGCAGGGGAUCGCAAGACCUUGCGCUGAUUGAGCGGCCGAUAUCAGAUUAGCUAGUUGGUGAGGUAAAGGCUCACCAAGGCGACGAUCUGUAGCGGGUCUGAGAGGAUGAUCCGCCACACUGGAACUGAGACGCGGUCCAGACUCCUACGGGAGGCAGCAGUGGGGAAUUUUGGACAAUGGCGGCGAAGACCUGAUCCAGCCAUGCCGCGUGAGUGAAGAAGGACCGUCGU